GACGAACGCUGGCGGCGUGCCUAAUACAUGCAAGUCGAACGCUUCUUUCCUCCCGAGUGCUUGCACUCAAUUGGAAAGAGGAGUGGCGGACGGGUGAGUAACACGUGGGUAACCUACACAUCAGAGGGGGAUGACACUUGGAAACAGGUGCUAAUACCGCAUAACAGUUUAUGCCGCAUGGCAUAAGAGUGAAAGGCGCUUUCGGGUGUCGCUGAUGGAUGGACCCGCGGUGCAUUAGCUAGUUGGUAAGGUAACGGCUCACCAAGGCCACGAUGCAUAGCCGACCUGAGAGGGUGAUCGGCCACACUGGGACUGAGACACGGCCCAGACUCCUACGGGAGGCAGCAGUAGGGAAUCUUCGGCAAUGGACGAAAGUCUGACCGAGCAACGCCGCGUGAGUGAAGAAGGUUUUCGGAUCGUAAAACUCUGUUGUUAGAGAAGAACAAGGACGUUAGUAACUGAACGUCCCCUGACGGUAUCUAACCAGAAAGCCACGGCUAACUACGUG
rnacentral:rRNA from 1 species